GAUUUCUGCCCAGUGCUCUGAAUGUCAACGUGAAGAAAUUCAAGCAAGCGCGGGUAAACGGCGGGAGUAACUAUGACUCUCUUCUACGUGGCCUCCAUCUGGUCAAUACACGACCUAUGGGCUAUGGCGGCGGUUGUGUAUGUACUCCGGUGCACUCUGGACCGUAACCAUGGCAAGUACUCGGUACGAUGGCUCACACCCCUAACGGGGAGGUGAGGGUGUAGAUACUCUCGGGCGGGUCGUAUUAUUCGAU
rnacentral:rRNA from 1 species